rnacentral:rRNA from 1 species
CAAUAGCGUAUAUUUAAGUUGUUGCAGUUAAAAAGCUCGUAGUUGGAUUUCGGGUGGGACGCAGCGGUCUCGCAUUGCGUUUGUACUGCUGCAGCCCUCCUUCUUGCCGGGGGCGGCCUCUCGGACUUCACUGUCUGGGGGUCAGAAUCGGCGAUGUUACUUUGAGUAAAUUAGAGUGUUCAAAGCAAGCUUACGCUCUGAAUGUAAUAGCAUGGGAUAACACGACAGGACUCUGGCCUAUCGUGUUGGUCUAUAGGACCAGAGUAAUGAUUAAGAGGGACAGUCGGGGGCAUUCGUAUUCCGUUGUCAGAGGUGAAAUUCUUGGAUUUACGGAAGACGAACAUCUGCGAAAGCAUUUGCCAAGGAUGUUUUCAUUGA